AUGGGCAGCCUUCACACCAAAACAGUGAAGAAGGUAGCCUGGGUCAUCAUAGAAAAGUAUUACAUGCACCCCGGUAAUGAUUUCCACAUGAACAAGCAAGUGGGUGAAGACUGUCAUUAUCCCCAGCAAGAAGCUCUGCAACAAGAUAGCAGGCUGAGUCACGCAUCUGAAGAAGCAGAUUCACAGGGGCCCAGUAAGAGGUAUUUCCAUCAGGUUGCAGGAGAAGAAGAGAGAAAGGAGAGAUAAUUAUGCUCCUGAGGUCUCAGGCUUGGAUCAGGAGAUCACUGAAGUAGAUCUUGAUACUGGAGAAAUGCUGAAGGUUUGGACUUUGGGAAAUUCAUCCCAACUG
rnacentral:lncRNA from 1 species